rnacentral:rRNA from 1 species
UACGUAGGGUCCAAGCGUUAUCCGGAAUCACUGGGCGUAAAGCGUGCGUAGGUGGAUUGUUAAGUGCGAUGCGAAAUCCUGUGGCUCAACCAUAUGGACUGUAUCGCAUACUGGCAAUCUAGAGGACAUGAGAGGCAAGUGGAAUUACCGGUGUAGCAGUGAAAUGCGUAGAUAUCGGUAGGAACACCAAUGGCGAAGGCAGCUUGCUGGCAUGUAUCUGACGCUAAGGCACGAAAGCGUGGGGAGCGAACAGG